rnacentral:rRNA from 1 species
CCUACGGGACGCAGCAGUGGGGAAUAUUGCACAAUGGGGGAAACCCUGAUGCAGCAACGCCGCGUGAGUGAAGAAGUCAUUCGUAAUGUAAAGCUCUAUCAGCAGGGAAGAAAAUGACGGUGCCUGAGUAAGAAGCCCCGGCUAACUACGUGCCAGCAGCCGCGGUAAUACGUAGGGGGCAAGCGUUAUCCGGAUUUACUGGGUGUAAAGGGAGCGUAGACGGCCAGACAAGUCUGAAGUGAAAAUCCAGCGCUUAACGUUGGAAGUGCUUUGGAAACUGCCGGGCUGGAGUGCAGGAGGGGCAG